rnacentral:rRNA from 1 species
GAUGAACGCUGGCGGCGUGCCUAAUACAUGCGAGUCGAACGCUGAAGGAGGAGCUUGCUCUUCUGGAUGAGUUGCGAACGGGUGAGUAACGCGUAGGUAACCUGCCUGGUAGCGGGGGAUAACUUUUGGAAACGAUAGCUAAUACCGCAUGACAACAGUUAUUGCAUGAUAACUGUUUAAAAGGGGCAACUGCUCCACUACCAGAUGGACCUGCGUUGUGUUAGCUAGUUGGUGAGGUAACGGCUCACCAAGGCGACGAUACAUAGCCGACCUGAGAGGGUGAUCGGCCACACUGGGACUGAGACACGGCCCAGACUCCUACGGGAGGCAGCAGUAGGGAAUCUUCGGCAAUGGACGGAAGUCUGACCGAGCAACGCCGCGUGAGUGAAGAAGGGUUUCGGAUCGUAAAGCUCUGUUGUAAGAGAAGAACGAGUGUGAGAGUGGAAAGUUCACACUGUGACGGUAGCUUACCAGAAAGGGACGGCUAACUACGUG